ACCUUUCUAGACUUCAUAGUCAGAGUAAACCUACAAAGACAAAAGUUCAUUUCUCCAUUGCCCCCUCCACCAACCCGAUAAAGAAUGUAAGUAAAUGAUUUAUUUACUUAGACGAGGACAAAAUGGUUGCAAUACAGAAGUCUUUUAUUUACUCUUGCCCCCUCCGUCAACCCAAUAAUGAACGCAAGUAAAAUGAGUUUUCCAAAAAAAAUACAAAAGCAAUCAAACUAGAAAUUUUCACUUUUCCCAGCAAUUCAAAG
rnacentral:misc_RNA from 1 species